rnacentral:rRNA from 1 species
UCGUAAGUGUUUAAGGGCACAU